UAAUCUUGGAGCAAAGGUAGGGCUGAGCCCAGCAGGCCAUGAACAGCAGCAGGAGGCAAACAGAUUCCUGGGUGGAAAGGGCCACGUCCCUGGUAGGGCCUCACCUUCAGGCCUGGGAGGGCCGUGAUAAAUGCCCAGUAGUAGGAUUGCUGGAUGAUAUAGUGGUUGUUUUUAUAGUUUUUAAAGAACCUCCAUACUGUUCUACAUAGUGGUGGUAUUAAUUUACAUUCUAAUCAACAAUGUGUAAGAGUUCCCUUUUCUCUGCAUCCUUGCCAGGAGUGUUCCUGGCACCUUUGUCAAAAUCAGUUGGCUAUAGAUACUUGGAUUAAUUCUUCCAGCUUUGUUCUUUUUACUCAAGAUUGCUUUGGCUUUUUCAGGUCUUUUGUGGUGUACUUUCAUAUCUCUACUUUCUCAAUAAUACCUCAAAAGCCAUUUUUUUCAUAUGAUGCCCACACCAAAGAAUAAACAAAGACAUAAAUACCUCAAGCACAUAAUACCUAAAAAAUUGAGCCUCUGUAAUCUCAAAGAGAAAGUAAGAACCUGAGGGUUCCAAGGGAAGAUGAAUGUGAGGAAAACAGUGAGUAGCCUAGAGAUAAAGGAAUAGAAGAUCUAUAGUCUUCAAAGUUGGAAGAUAAAGGAAGAUGGCCUUCUGUCUUCAAUAACAAAAUUUGAAAUGGAGGGAAUCAGCCCUGGAGCUAUUGCUGAUGUGUUUGCCAAAUCAAUACAUCCCUUUAUCAUCCUUCAGUAUGGGUAUUUAUAGGGCCACUUGA
rnacentral:lncRNA from 1 species